UUUCCGAGGGGGAGGAACUUCCACCGCUUGAACAUUCUUUGGCUUCUUCCUUAUAUUCUUCAAGUUCCAACACAAUCCCAGCAUAUUCGGUGGCUGCAAUCAUGAUUUGCUAUGAAUUUGGGCUCAAGAAGAAUAGUAAUGAAAAAUACAAGUCCUCUUCUUGAUCGUAUGAUGCUGGAUCAGCAAAACUAACAAUGCCAGUAGCAAGUAAGCUUAUCUAUGUAACCGUAUAGUGUGUGUUUAUACCUAUAUUUUGAUCUGUUUACACUCCCAUCUUCUGCUUCUCUACAUGCCCAAUGCCAUGUAGUUGUGCUGCAGUAGUGCUUCUCAACAUCGCUUAACCCAUACAUCCUGAAGCAUGUAAGUCAAAAGGAGAUGAACGGAAGAUCUCAAUCUAAUAAGAGAUUGGAGCAUGUAUUUACUCUGGCCUGCAUUGUUGU